UCUGGCGGCUCAGAGUCCGAAGCUCCGAGGUUGUGCCUUCAGCUCUCUCACCUGCUGCGGUGGCUGUCUUGGUCACACAAGAGGACAGUCAAUAAGGGGCUAAAAAAAUGGGAAGAACUGAUUCGUGAAAAGCCAUGGAGGAAACUUAAAUGCAUAUGACUAAAUGAAAGAAGUGAGUCUGAAAGACUACAUGCAGAAUGAUUCCAGCUAGAUGACAUUCUGGAAAAGGGAAAGCUUCAGCUCUCCUGGCCCGCCCCGUGCUGAUAACGUCCAGAAAGAAGACAGCCUCUGUGGUUCUUGCCUGAGCCACGCAUCCUGGUGGCCUUUGGAAAAUGCCAGGCGGUCCCUGAGUUGACUAAAAGCUUCCAUGAGUGGUUAUGGAGAUAAGAUGCUUCCCCCAGUGCCUUUCUAAGAAUGGUGCUUGUAGCACUGGCCCUCACGGCUCCUUGCAAAAGUAAACACCUCAACCGCCCACCACCAAAUCUAUGGUGUUUCUGGUAUCUGCACCCACCUCACUUCUUCCUGCAUUGAUGGAGAGAAUGCUCCUUCCCUCAGUCAACAGCCAGGCCCUCUUCCUAUUUUCUGGAAACCUCUGCCCUCCACCGCUCAAUGGCUGUACCUUCUGCUGACCCUUCCUUUUCCAGAAAACUCAAUCUGUCCUCAGUGGGUCAUUUCUUUGACACACGGACUUGCUUCAUCUACUCUAGUGAGUCACAGACCUUCUUCUGUCUUGCGCACCACCUGUCACCCCUGCCUGUGCCAGGCUUCUCUCCACAGCACAGCCCACGCAAGCUCGGCCUCACCUCCUCACAGCCACACCCUCUGUUCGCUCCUCCAGCCUCUUGGUCUGGCUCCACCACCGCCCGUCACGUCCAGCUCUCUGCAGGAUGCUGGUUACUUCCAAUUCAAUGAUCGCUUUUUUCUUCUGCUUUUCCUCAGUUUUUAAAAAUUGAUACCUAAUAUUUGUACAUAUUUAUCUGACCAUGUGAUAUUCGGUUACAUGCAUAGAAGGUGUAAUAAUCAAGCCAGGGUACUUGGGGUGUCCAUCGGCCCUGUGUUUACCAUUCCUAUGUGGUGGGAACAUCUGAAGCCCUUCCCUGUAGUUAUUUUGAAAUAUGCCACACCUUGUUAUUAACUAUAGUUGCCCUUCUCUGCUCUCAAACGCUAGAACAUCUUCCUUCUAAUUGCAUGUUUCAGUCACUUGUGGGUCAUCGAAGCUCAGCGACAUUGCAUGCAACCAUCUCGCUUCCUACUCCUUGAAGCUCUCCUCUGCUUCAGUCUCCAGGCCCCCAAUUUCCUGGUCUUCCCUCCCCUGCCCAGCCGCUCCCGUGCCAGGUACCUUGCUGGGCCUCCCUUUCCUUCCAGUCUCUGUGCAGAAUUUCCUCCAGGUCAUUCCUGGCUCCUCCUCUCCUCUCACUCCAACACCUUCCUGGAGAUAAGAUCAUUCAUUCUCAUGACUUUGUAUGUUUUAUGUUAAACAGACCCAAAUGUAUAUCUCCAACCCAAACCUGAGCUCCAGACUCAUGUAUCUUACUGUGUGCCUGUACCUCUACUCAGAAAUUGAAUUUUUGGGCUGAAGUUUGAA